UACGGAGGAUGCAAGCGUUAUCCGGAUUCAUUGGGUUUAAAGGGUGUGUAGGCGGGAGAUUAAGUCAGUGGUGAAAUCCUGCAGCUUAACUGUAGAAUUGCCAUUGAAACUGAUCUUCUUGAGUACAGUUGAGGUAGGCGGAAUGUGUAAUGUAGCGGUGAAAUGCUUAGAUAUUACACAGAACACCGAUUGCGUAGGCAGCUUACUAAACUGCUACUGACGCUGAGGCACGAAAGCGUGGGGAGCGAACAGGAUUAGAUACCCCCGUA
rnacentral:rRNA from 1 species